UCAUUAGAAAAUAAAUUCACUAAAUUGAUCAAACAAGAGAACAUCUGAUGAAGUCUUAUAUAUUUAUCAGCUGAUUGUUCUCUAGUGGGAGUAGUGCAAGUGAUCCUUAGACCUGAGAUCAUCAUGGUACCUUGUGUAUAUGAAUCUAUAUUUUAGUUUAUUUUCUAACUCGACUCUUUGAGCCUUAUGUGGGGUGCUUUGGAUAUAGUGAAAUACGCAUGAAGAUUGUGAAUGGUCAACAAGAAGUCGAUCAUUCUUUAUAAGGGAGA
rnacentral:lncRNA from 1 species